rnacentral:snRNA from 1 species
AGACUAUGGAGAUAUGAAAGUGAUCUGUCAUUCAAUUGAUCACCAUGGUUGAUAUUGUUGGUCUGGCUGGCAAGGCUGGUGUCUCCUUCCUCCCUCAACAUUCCAUGUACAGCUCUCCCAAAGCUGUACAUUUUGUAGCAAGGGUGACCUUCCCAGAAUAAAAGGGGAUCAUUCUUUGGCCAAGGAUAUACUAGUAGCUAUGCUCCCUUGUUAGAACCUCCAAACAAAUAUGGGGAUUUGGGGUUGUCUUCUAGUGUUAGAGCCUUAUCUAUGCUCAGAUAGGCAGUAAGUCAGGAACUAGGGUCUGGGAAGAUCAAUGGCACACAAGUCACAGUCAGUGGGCUCUUGUC